UACGUAGGUGGCAAGCGUUGUCCGGAAUUAUUGGGCGUAGAGCGCGCGCAGGCGGUCCUUUAAGUCUGAUGUGAAAGCCCACGGCUCAACCGUGGAGGGUCAUUGGAAACUGGGGGACUUGAGUACAGAAGAGAAGAGUGGAAUUCCAUGUGUAGCGGUGAAAUGCGUAGAGAUGUGGAGGAACACCAGUGGCGAAGGCGACUCUUUGGUCUGUAACUGACGCUGAGGCGCGAAAGCGUGGGGAGCAAACAGG
rnacentral:rRNA from 1 species